AAGAUCGUUUUUAGAUCAU
rnacentral:snRNA from 1 species